rnacentral:rRNA from 1 species
UGAACGCUGGCGGCAUGCCUUACACAUGCAAGUCGAACGGCAGCACGGGAGCAAUCCUGGUGGCGAGUGGCGAACGGGUGAGUAAUGUAUCGGAACGUACCUUUCAGUGGGGGAUAACGUAGCGAAAGUUACGCUAAUACCGCAUAUUCUGUGUGCAGGAAAGCAGGGGAUCGCAAGACCUUGCGCUGAUUGAGCGGCCGAUAUCAGAUUAGCUAGUUGGUGAGGUAAAGGCUCACCAAGGCGACGAUCUGUAGCGGGUCUGAGAGGAUGAUCCGCCACACUGGAACUGAGACACGGUCCAGACUCCUACGGGAGGCAGCAGUGGGGAAUUUUGGACAAUGGGGGCAACCCUGAUCCAGCCAUGCCGCGUGAGUGAAGAAGGCCUUCGGGUUGUAAAGCUCUUUCGGCCGGGAAGAAAUCGCAUGGGUUAAUACCCUGUGCGGAUGACGGUACCGGCAUAAGAAGCACCGGCUAACUAC